AGAAAGGGGGGAAAUCACGUUGGGAAGUGAGGGGCUAGGGUUUUUUUUUUUUUAAAUUUUUUUUGACAGGUUCCAGUUCCGGUUCCCAAAAAAAGGGAACCGGGAAUUGGAACUGGUCUCUUUAGAAUCGGGAACCGAACUGGACCCUCCGGUGCAGUUCUCCGGUUCCCGGUUCUACGCGAGAACCAUGCUCACCCCUACUGCAGAUUGCUAUUUUUCCUCCACAGAUUAGUUCCACCCUAUCUUCAAUGGGAGGGCCAAGCCUUCUCUCACUGCUAGGGUUUCAGGUACAAGGGCUGUCGGAACAUGGAUUUUCUUGUUGAAGCCGUCCACGAGAGCUCGUGAGCAUCUCUACACACCCUAAUUAUUGAACCCACUCAAGAGUGAAUGUUGUGCACUGAGGCAGCAAAGAACUUCUCAUUAAUCGCAUGCAUAAUUGCUUUGACCAAUCACCUUGUGCCAAGUGUUCAUGAGUGUUUCUUAUCUUCUUACAAAUACUAACACUCUCAUUAUUCGCAUGGAUAAUUGCUUUGACAUUGUUGAGUUUUACUUCUGAUGGUGGCCACACCAACAAAUGCCACAUCCAUUGCAAUGAUACUUGUUGUAACAUAUUAUCACAUAAGCUAUCAGGAAAUUAAUGCGAAAUUAUAAGAGAAAUAAACGAGAAACAAUAAAAGACUCAAAGAUUUAUGUGGUUCAGUACCGAGUGUCGGUACCUACAUCCACAGAGAGAGCCGACAUUAAAUAAUUCACUAAUAAUUAGGAAAUCUAAGUUUAUAAUUGUUUACACGCUUGAAUGUUCCCUACUUCUAGAUUAAACCCAAGUCUAAAGUGUUUGUAAAUAAACAACUCAAAUGGAUAUAAUACUUACAGCACAAAUCCACAGUGUGUAUAGCUCCCGUUCACGGCCAAGCAAAGAGCGCCGCACUCUCUGAUUCUUCCUUUUGUCCUUCGUGUGGGGUUACCUAGGAAAUCACGGUGUGACCAUUGGACUCUCUUUCUUCUCGUGCAGCUACACUUUGCUAAAGGAACCCACUCCACGCUCUUCAAAGAAAGAAGCCACUAGCGGCCAUUCACACAAUGAGGAACCCAAUUUGUCUUGCAGUGGCAGAGGACUCCUUUCCUCUCAUUCUUCCAACCUUCGGCAAAGGUGAGUCCAACUCUUCAAUUUUAUUGUGCUGUCAAACUUGGAUAUUUAUUCAAUUGGGUUGUGUUGCGUAAAUGGUUCAGACUCGAGACAU
rnacentral:lncRNA from 1 species